CGUGAGUGGCGGACGGGUGAGUAACGCGUGGGUAACCUGCCUCAUACAGGGGGAUAACAGUUGGAAACGGCUGCUAAUACCGCAUAAGCGCACAGUACCGCAUGGUACGGUAGUGAAAAACUCCGGUGGUAUGAGAUGGACCCGCGUCUGAUUAGGUAGUUGGUGGGGUAACGGCCUACCAAGCCGACGAUCAGUAGCCGACCUGAGAGGGUGACCGGCCACAUUGGGACUGAGACACGGCCCAA
rnacentral:rRNA from 1 species